UACGUAGGGGGCAAGCGUUGUCCGGAUUUAUUGGGCGUAAAGAGCGUGUAGGCGGCCUGGAAGGUCAGCUGUGAAAACUCGAGGCUCAACCUCGAGACGUCGGUUGAAACCACCUGGCUAGAGUCCGGAAGAGGAGAGUGGAAUUCCCGGUGUAGUGGUGAAAUGCGUAGAUAUCGGGAGGAACACCAGUGGCGAAGGCGACUACCUGGCCUGUUCUUGACGCUGAGGCGCGAAAGCUAGGGGAGCAAACGGG
rnacentral:rRNA from 1 species